UUGAACGCUGGCGGCAGGCCUCACACAUGCAAGUCGAGCGGAUGAAGGGAGCUUGCUCCUGGAUUCAGCGGCGGACGGGUGAGUAAUGCCUAGGAAUCUGCCUGGUAGUGGGGGAUAACGUCCGGAAACGGGCGCUAAUACCGCAUACGUCCUGAGGGAGAAAGUGGGGGAUCUUCGGACCUCACGCUAUCAGAUGAGCCUAGGUCGGAUUAGCUAGUUGGUGGGGUAAAGGCCUACCAAGGCGACGAUCCGUAACUGGUCUGAGAGGAUGAUCAGUCACACUGGAACUGAGACACGGUCCAGACUCCUACGGGAGGCAGCAGUGGGGAAUAUUGGACAAUGGGCGAAAGCCUGAUCCAGCCAUGCCGCGUGUGUGAAGAAGAUCUUCGGAUUGUAAAGCACUUUAAGUUGGGAGGAAGGGCAGUAAGUUAAUACCUUGCUGUUUUGACGUUACCAACAGAAUAAGCACCGGCUAACUUCGUG
rnacentral:rRNA from 1 species